rnacentral:rRNA from 1 species
GAUGAACGCUGGCGGCGUGCCUAAUACAUGCCAGUCGAGCGAACAGACGAGGAGCUUGCUCCUUCGACGUUAGCGGCGGACGGGUGAGUAACACGUAGGUAACCUACCUAUAAGACUGGGAUAACUUCGGGAAACCGGAGCUAAUACCGGAUAAUAUUUCGAACCGCAUGGUUCGAUAGUGAAAGAUGGCUUUGCUAUCACUUAUAGAUGGACCUGCGCCGUAUUAGCUAGUUGGUAAGGUAACGGCUUACCAAGGCAACGAUACGUAGCCGACCUGAGAGGGUGAUCGGCCACACUGGAACUGAGACACGGUCCAGACUCCUACGGGAGGCAGCAGUAGGGAAUCUUCCGCAAUGGGCGAAAGCCUGACGGAGCGACGCCGCGUGAGUGAUGAAGGUCUUCGGAUCGUAAAACUCUGUUAUUAGGGAAGAACAAACGUGUAAGUAACUGUGCACGUCUUGACGGUACCUAAUCAGAAAGCCACGGCUAACUACGUG